rnacentral:rRNA from 1 species
GUAGGUGGCAAGCGUUGUCCGGAAUUAUUGGGCGUAAAGCGCGCGCAGGCGGUCCUUUAAGUCUGAUGUGAAAGCCCACGGCUCAACCGUGGAGGGUCAUUGGAAACUGGGGGACUUGAGUACAGAAGAGGAAAGCGGAAUUCCAAGUGUAGCGGUGAAAUGCGUAGAGAUUUGGAGGAACACCAGUGGCGAAGGCGGCUUUCUGGUCUGUAACUGACGCUGAGGCGCGAAAGCGUGGGGAGCAAACAGGAUUAGAUACCCUGGUAGUCCACGCCGUAAACGAUGAGUGCUAAGUGUUAGGGGGUUUCCCGCCCCCCUUAGUGCUGCAGCUAACGCAUUAAGCACCCCCGCCUGGGGGAGUACGGCCGCAAGGCUG